CCUGCCAGAGAGGGCUUUUGGUUUAUCCUAUGUGCUGUGGCUUAUGUACAAUUCGAAAGUCAUAUGCCACGGCGGAUAGGAGCAAUCAUUAGCCACAAAGCCAACUAUCCGUGGGA
rfam:Drosophila pseudoobscura pseudoobscura strain MV2-25 chromosome XL unlocalized genomic scaffold ChXL_group1e, whole genome shotgun sequence.